rnacentral:rRNA from 1 species
UACAGAGGUCUCGAGCGUUGUUCGGAUUCAUUGGGCGUAAAGGGCGCGUAGGCGGCGGGGUAAGUCUGGUGUGAAAUCUCGGAGCUCAACUCCGAAACUGCACUGGAUACUGCUCUGCUAGAGGGCUGGAGAGGAGAUCGGAAUUCACGGUGUAGCAGUGAAAUGCGUAGAUAUCGUAAGGAAGACCAGUGGCGAAGGCGGGUCUCUGGACAGUUCCUGACGCUGAGGCACGAAGGCCAGGGGGAGCAAACGGG